rnacentral:rRNA from 1 species
UACGAAGGGGGCUAGCGUUGCUCGGAAUUACUGGGCGUAAAGGGCGCGUAGGUGGUUAGAUAAGUGAGUUGUGAAAUCCCUGGGCUUAACCUAGGAACUGCAACUUAUACUGUUUGACUAGAGUACGGUAGAGGGCAGUGGAAUUUCCGGUGUAGCGGUGAAAUGCGUAGAUAUCGGAAGAACACCAGUGGCGAAGGCGGCUCACUGGUCCGGUACUGACGCUGAGGUGCGAAAGCGUGGGGAGCAAACAGG